AUAGUAUGUUGGACAAGCGGUACCAAGAUGGUUUAAAAGGGAAUUCGGAGCAAGUAUGCUUGCAAGCCGAAGCUGUCCCCGCAACUGUACGUGCUGACAAAUAAUCGAAAAGCCACUGUUUUUUAAUGGGAAGGUGAUUAUUUGGAGGAAGCAUAAGCCAGGAGACCUGCCGCAUUGUUCAAGACAGC
rnacentral:ncRNA from 2 species